rnacentral:lncRNA from 1 species
UAGGAGUUAAUAAAGUUGCUAAGUUUUUAAGAAUGCAGGAUUAUAUAGUCUCCCUUAUAUUUGUUUGAUGAAUAAGUGUAAUUUCGAAAAAUAAAGAGAAAAAUAAAAAUUGGGAAUCUCGAAAAAAGGGAGGAGACAAGUAAAGAAACCCAGUCUUGAGAUAAGAAAAAUUAAAAAAAUAAAAAAGUUGAAUAAAUGAGCAUAAAGGCUAGGAAUAGUGGUUUUAAUAAGGGAUAGACGAGCUAAAUUGAGCUCUU